GCAACGUUGAUCAUUGACCAAUGUUCUCGAUUCAACCGAUCAGUUUUUGGCCGGAGGAUGGUAGAUGGGAGUUGGUGAUGCGUACGUUGGCGCUGGGGGGUGGUACUCAGGCUCAGGCUUUGGUUUGGGCUCAGGCUUAGGCUUCGGUGGCACAGGUUUCUUGUGGAAGUGGUCAAAGAACUUGUGAUAGUCAUGGUCCUUGUGGAAGUGAUCAAGGAAGUGCUUCUUGUCAAACGAUAUUUCUUUCACAACCGGAGGGUGGUAGAUCGGAGUCGGAGACCCGUAUGUGGGUGUCGGGGGGUGGUACUCAGGCUUAGGCUGCGGCUUUGGCUUUGGUGGCACGGGCUUCUUGUGGAAGUGGUCAAAGAUGUGGUGGUAGUCAUGGUGUUUGUGGAAGUCAUCGUGCAAGGGAUUCUUGUCGAACAAGUGCCUGGCAGGAGGGUGGUAGAUUGGUGUAGGUGACCCAUAUGUUGGCGUUGGUGGGUGGUACUCAGGCUCAGGUUGAGGUUUGGGCUCUGGCUUGGGCUUGGGUGGCACAGGCUUCUUGUGGAAGUGGUAAAAAAAGUGGUGGUAGUCAUGGCCUUUAUGAAAGUGAUCAGGCUCAGGCUGCGGCUUAGGCUGCGGCUUGGGCUCCGGCUUUGGCUUUGGUGGCACGGGCUUCUUGUGGAAGUGGUCGAAGAAGUGGUGGUAGUCGUGGUCCUUAUGAAAAUGGUCGAGCAAGGGCUUCUUGUCAAACAAAUGUCUAGCUGGAGGGUGGUAGAUCGGUGUGGGUGACCCGUAUGUUGGAGUCGGAGGGUGGUAUUCUGGCUGUGGCUUGGGCUCUGGCUUCGGCUUUGGUGGAACUGGCUUCUUGUGGAAGUGGUCAAAGAAGUGGUGUGGCUUAGGUUCUGGUUCUGGUUUGGGUUCUGGCUUCGGCUUCAGCGGAGAUGGCUUCUUGUGGAAGUGGUCCAAGAAGUGGUGAUAGUCGUGGUCCUUGUGGAAGUGAUCAACCAUGUGCUUCUUGUCGAACAACUGCCUUGCUGGAGGAUGGUAGAUUGGAGUUGGGGAUCGAUAUGUUGGCGUAGGGGAGUGGUACUUCGGCUGCGGCUUAGGUUCUGGCUUUGGCUUUGGCUCUGGCUUCGGCUUCGGUGGCACAGGCUUCUUGUGGAAAUGGUCCAACAGGUGCUUCUUGAUCGGCCCGCAUAGGGUUGCCGACGCGCAUUCUGCCGACGGGUAGUCUGUCUUGCCAGGGACCACGACGAAGUUGCCAUCGGACGACUGCGGCACAAUCCUGGAAGGUUCCUGACCGGGGCACGGGGUGCCCGCGGCGCUGUGGAGCUGCGCAACGCAGUCAGCGGCGUGCAUGUCCGUGCUCAGCGGGAUGCUGAAGGCGCCGGAGACAUCUAGCUUGCCUAUGGCCUUGCUCUCGUACUCGCCUUUGCUGUUCCUGCACUUGAUCGCCACCUCAAGACCUGAAAUGCAUGGAUCGAAAAGCACCGUCAGUACCAGCAGCUAGCUUCUUCUGACCUUACUGAUCAGCUUAAAGCAUUGAGUAUCCACUGUUUAUGUUAUUAGCUUAAUUAAAUAUGCAUGUAUAUUAUUCCUAGUAUAUUUACCCUUGAAUGCCGCUUCGGCCUUCAUGUUCUUCCUGGUGCAAUCGGCGCAUUUGGCGAGGCCGAUAACCACCGAGGACGCCUCACUGGAGGCAGCGCUUGCGACGGCUAUUACCAUCAGCACGGCGAAAAUGCCGGGGAGAAGGCCCCCAUGUACCGCAGCCAUGGCUAGAUGGAUGACUCGAUGAGAUGAAGAAGAGGCAAUGCAAUGCCUGCCUUAUAUAGGCCUACGCAUUGAUCAAACACAGCUCGAUCUUACAUGCAUGCACGCAUGAUCACGAGCUGGUGAGGACUGAGGCGCCAGCACACAUAAUUUUGGCGCCGAAAUUGCAGACCGGCCGGGAAUUAAUGCCGUCCAUUUGAGUUGAUCAAUCUCUGUCUGUCCAUUCAUCAUGUCCAGUCGGUUGGUAGUAGUUGGAGUUGUGUAAGUUACGUCAGUUGCGGCACUUUGGAUUUGCAUGCAUGCAGCGCCAGUACAUGCCCUGUGUAAUGCAGGUUUCCAUUGGUCACAUCGGAAAAGCAAAGCUUGUAAAAGCGCGUGUCCGGUGUGCUCAUCUGCUGGACAAUAAAUUUCAGAACAGUAUAGUAUAGUUUGGUUUGUUUCAGAAAAGGGACAGUACUUUCGGAAUGUGGAUACAAAAUAAGUUCUUUCUGACCGCGUGUAGUUGGAUACAACAUAUAGUAGCACAAAAAAGCUCUAUGAUGACGGUAGUGUCUAAUUUAUAGACGCGGCGAGCCCAAUUCAAGAACCGCCACUGUAAACCCAUUUACACUGACAGUUCACUUAAGGAAACUGUCAGUGUCAAUAGUGCAUUUCCACUAGCGGUUUCCUUAAGUGCUGUGCAAAUAGAUUUACACCAGUGGUACCUUAUGUCAGCCGCCAGUGAAGUUUUUGGUAUAAAUACUCAUUCUUCCUCCACGAGUAGAACUGUUUCUCACAACCACCUUCUAUUAGAGGCCAUUUUGGAGGUCUAGAUUUUUAGGAGGUUGCUAAGAAAUGUUAGUUUAUAUCUCUCUUGCCUCUUUUUGUUCAUUCUUGCUCAAUUUGAACCACUUUAUGGAUCUAGGAUUUCACCAUAUGUUAGAGAGAAGAAUAGCUAGGUUAUUAUCUUUAUUUGCUCAAAUGAUCUUAAGAUUGUUAGAUGAUGUCUCUCCUCUAUCCCUUUUUAUUUUUGCUUCUCACUUUAGUUUAUCCAAGAUAUAUUUAGUUAUUUUCAUGAAUUGUGUGUUCUUGUCUAUUUAUGUAGAUAGAGAAAUAUAGGUUCUUUUGUUAGUUUUAUAAAUUGUGUAGUUUUUUGUCUUCAUUUCUCAAUUUGAUUUAAUUAUCCACUAUGUAUUUAUGUUUCAUGAAUGGUGUGUUUGUAUGUAGAGGGGAAGAUAGGUUUCUUAAUUAAUUAAGAUUAUUGUGUUUAUUAAUUAGAAAAUAUGAAAGAGGUUUCUUUGUUUACCACUAUGUUGUUGACUGAGGUUACUUAGUACGGUUAAUUUUAUUCUUCUAACUUUUAGCGAACCUUGCUUCAAGGUCUAUAAAUUGGAAAAUAUACAAGUGGGAGGUUUUCAUCUUCAUUUCUUCGAAAGAGGUUGGUGAUCAAAAGAUUAGAUAAUAAAUAUCUCUAGACAAUCAUACUUGUUUUGCAUUGAUUAUAAUUAAUUCAUUAUAUUUUUUAUAUGUAAUGAUGGAGAGGUCAUUUUGGAUGUAUAAUUUAUCAAGACUAAAUCCAUCAUAUAUACCCGAGGUCCCUAGGUUUUUUGAUGCUGACUAAGAACCAUGCUUGGAGAACAAAGAUGAAGCACAUCUAUUGUCCAUGCAUAGACUGUACAAAUGUUAUUGUAUUUGAUGACACUAAAUCAAUCAUUUAUUAUUUGGUCUAACAAGAAUUUAUGAUGGAUUACUUGUUUUGGACAAAGGGUAGCUUGCGCCUUAUACAAAUAGAAACCUUACGAACAUCGACGUUGAUGCUGAUGGAUUUCCGUUCCUACAUGAGAUACAACAACCUCUUUCCUAGAGUGAACAUGUUGUGCCAAAUGUUACGGUUAUGGAAGAUGUAGAAUUCUUAGGGUAAAGUUGCAUCAUCAUAUGGAUCCAUGAAUAUUAUUAAUGAAAGGUAUGGAAGCCCUGAUAAAGGCUGCAGAAGAGACUUUGCACGACGAGUCUAAGGGUUAUACCAAAGAGUUCAUGACACUGCGGUCUAUGCUAAAGUUGUCGAUGUUAAAAGCUAGAUAUGGUAUGUCUGAUGCUGGCUUGGAUGCAUUCUUGUGUAUUAUUGCAGACAUGCUUCCAAAGGGAAACAAUGUGUGUGCUAAGACGUACUAUGUAAAGAAACUAAUCAGUCCGCUCACUAUGGGUAUGGAGAAGAUCCACGCGUGUCAUGAUGACGAUGAUUAUAAGGACUUAGAGAGUUGUCCAAAGUGUGGUGCAACUACGUACAAGACAAAUAAAGACUAUCGAGAGAAAGAGUGUGUUGCCUCCAUUUCUAAAGGAAAGAAGCGAAAGGAGACCAAAUAGAACAAACAAUAAAGUUCAAAAUCUAGAAAAAUAUUCCUACUUUGAUGAUGUGGUGUAACACCCUAGUGUUAAGUAUGCAUUAAGGCUUCAUCAAACUUAUAUGAGCAUUGGCACAAGCAUGAGCAUCUCAUGUGUUGUGCUAUAUUUUAUGCAUAUCUUUUAAAUGUGAAUUAAUUUUGAUAAUUGUCAUGCUAUGUCUAAAAAUGCUUGUUAUGCCUAGAUUAAAUUGUUUUAUGCCUAAACUUAAAUUAGAAAAUUUAAGUACCAUUUUUGGAGCCCUAGAAUUAAAGGAGUUGAUUUAAAUUAAAAUUUCGCAAAAUAGAUUUAUUUCAAACCUAGAACUAACUUUAAAUUGAAAUUCAAAAUCCAUUUGGAUUCUUGAUUUGCACCAUAAAGCAAAGUUAUAGAGAAUUUUAUUUUGAGCAACUUUUAUUUUUGGGUCAACUCCUGAAAAUGCAUUUAAAACAGUGUUUAAAAAUUAAUUGAGAAAAUAAAUUCAAAAAAAAGAGAAGGGAGGAGCGCCCUACUGGGCCACGCACCUUGCUUCUGGCCCAGCAGCCAAAGCCGGCCUGGCUCGUGAGCACAUCCCCUUCCUCCUCAGGCGCGCACUGUGGCCAGGUGACGUCGUGGCCGACCGUGCGUAGGCCAGCCGCGCCACGUGGAUGGCAAGCAACGGCAGCGGCUACGACAGUGCCUGCUUGCCCGAGCAGAAGGGGACGACAGCGGCUCUGCGUUGUCCACCUUCUCCACUCCACCCCGACCACACCUCUCUUGCUCUCGUCUCACAAAGCAGAGCUUGACAGCACCAUCGUCCGCCAUAGCCGCUACCGAGCUCCAGCGUCGACGUUCCAUCUUGUUGGUCGCUCCCGCCCUCGAUUCCUCCUGUCCACCGCUCCGUCUUCAUUCUCCUCAUCUCUGAAUGAGUCGGAUUGCCUCCCUUGGCUCAAGGUGAGGGAUAGCCGGCUGUCUUCUUCUUCUCUAGUGUGAACGUCGCAGCGGUUCAUGUGGUCAGCAAGGCCGCCGAGCCUCUUCCUCCUUCCUUUUGCGCGCAUCACAUUCGCCUUGACCUCGCCAAGCUCGUGCGUGCUCUGGUUCAUGCUCUACGCCGGAGUUCGUGAGUCCACCAUCCAGCAGAGCCAUCGUGCCGCCAUGGCCGGCGACGAGCUUGCUUCGGGGUGUCUCCAGACAAACCACCGCGCGCAUCCUGUUCGCCUAGGCUCGGGGAACACACAUGAGUGCUCGGUGUUGCCGUAGGGUUCACCGACAGCGAGAUCAGGCUCGCCGGAGUUCUCCCCCUCUCUGUGUGGCUAACAGGUGGGGUCGAGGACCCACUUGUCUAUACCUGUGUGCGGAUGCGGGUGCACUGCACCGGGUACACCUAGUAGAACUCGCCGAGACUUGAUUCUCAAUUUAAAGAAAUGUUUUUCAGAUAAUGGUUUAAAGCUUGUAAAAAUCAUAGCUUGAUUUCUAUUGCUCCAAAAAGUUUAAACAAAUUUUGUUAUGCUCUAUAUUAGUAGAUCUAAAGUUCGGUGUACUUGGUGUGAGACUUUUCUGUGAAGGUUUAUUUAAAUCUUGAAAAUAUUGAUUUCUUAUAAAAUAUGCAAAAAAUAAAAUAUAGCUCUGAAAAAUGUACUUCCUAUCUUGGUACAUUUGCACUACAAUCUAGCCUCUGUGAAAAAUGAGGAACCUAAUAUUACUCUACAAAAAUAAUUAUUAGUGAAUUAAUGCUUGCAUGAUGAUGGUUUAAGAUUUUUAAUAAAUAAUAUAUAAAUGCAAUUAAUCUAAGAAUUUUUGUAGGGCUCUCCUAUGUUACAAAGUAUUAAGGAAAAAUAUUAAAUUUGUUGUCUGACACUUUUGUAUGUAUAGAGUAUUUUCCAUUGUUUAUGUUUAGCAUACUUGUGAUUUUUGUGUGGGCCAUUUUACUUACCCAAAUUUUGUGAAAGUUUUAUGGUAGACUAUAUGUGUGAUCUAUAAGCUACUGUAAUUUUUAUGGAACUUAUUGAAUACCAGAGGUAUAUGUUGUUGUUAUUGGCCUAGUAAUAAAUAAAUAAAUAAAGAAUUAUUUUAUGUGAACUUGAAAGUAAUUAAACAGUUUGGUGUAUCUUUGAAGCAUUCUAAUGUGUGCUGCUUUAUCUUGGUAGGUGUAGAAAAAGAAUAGAAUAGAAUAACUUGUACUUAAGUUACAUGUUCUUGGAUGACAUUGACUACCUAGUACAAAUAGAUCACAUUGUCUUUUUGUCAUGACUCCCCUCUACCGGAGAGGAGAUAUGCACAUACUCAGUAAAUAACACAUCAUGACCACCCUUGUGAUCAUCUGCAUAAUCAUGCACCAUAUGUUCACCAUCCACUUACUUGAGCAUAUGCAUCAUACAGGCUCGUAGAAGAACGACGUGGUGACCGAACCUGAGGAGCCGGAGGUGACCGAGGUGCAGGAGAUCACUGAGGUGGAAGAGCAAGAAGAGGAGCUGCAAGAGUGUCUAGAUCACAGUCCUAGUUCUUUCGAGAAAGGCAAGCCUUGCUCCCCAAAUUUUCUGCUAAUUAUAUAUAUAUCAUGAUGGUUAUAUUGUUAUAUUAAGUUAUAGGAGUUGCUUGAUACCAUUGAUGUAUUGAAUAUCCCUUGGAAUAUCACCUUUCUACAUACCUUAUCCUAUGUAGUAUGGGCUCAGAGUCAAUGCUUAGCUCUGCUUAGCACAGUAGAAGUCGGAUGAUUCCCUGUCACCUGCGAGCUGUAGGUGGUCACCAAAGGUUUGGCAGUAUGUUUGCUAUCAUAAGUAAUAACCAAAUGUUGGGAAGCAAAGCUAAGACCGGACGAAACCUUUUGGGGGUGUUGGACCAUAGUGAUUCUGUCCUUGUCGAUUAAGGACCGAUCAUUGGUGGUCCUCUUGUCAUGUUGAACGCAUACCCUACACUUAACUUGAAGGAUAAGUUGUUCUGACUGUGAAGGUGGGACGCUAUUUGGGCCAGGAAUUGACCUGAUGUACGCACUGUAUUGGAGAUAGUUGAGGAGACUGAUGAGGGCGCGACGUGCAACCUUGGUAUGCCUUGGAUACCUUUGUCAUCGGAACGGUCCUUGGGUAUGGUGGUGCCUGCUGAACCGUGAAUUGGUCCUGAAUAGUGCAUCCGGUGACCUGUAGCUUACUUGAUCAGUGAGUGUGGCUUAUGUAGGGAAUAAAAUCACUAGCUGGUUAGGAAUUGUUUCGAAUCAUCAUCGCUCCUGGAUAGUAAGCACUUGACUUGAGCUUUGUCAUCGUAUUAAUGUUUAUGGAACACUGGAUGGUUAUGAGAUAUUGAUGAAGCUGGAAAAGCUGCACUAAAUUGGUAUUAUUGUACUGAAUCAAGUGAUUGCUAUAGUACAGGUGUUAAUCUAGAUGAUAGGUUAAUGAUACUUAACUUGAGCUAAUUAUCUAAAAAGGUUAUUUACUUAGUAACUUAAGAUUUUAUGGAAAGUUUGUGUCGAGCUACCCCUUUAUACAGCCUUACAUGAUCUUUGGUGUCAUUUAUUUCUGUUUUGUGAUAGGUAAGUCUAGCUGAGUAUAUUCUCAUAAUCAGGGCUCUGUUUCCAUGUUGUUUUGCAGAUGGGCAGAUGUACUAUGGGUACUGUAUUAACUGUCUUUACCUAGCUAUGGGUGAUGCUUAGACCAAUGGUGUGGUCACUUUGUCUUAUCUUUUGAUUUUGUGGGAAUCAUCAGACUCUAGCACUGUAAUCAAACUAAGUUUGUGUGUUUUCUAAAACUAUUCACUUCCGCUACUACUUUCAAGACUUGGUUUGUAAUAACUAAAUUCAAACUCCAAUGUACUGAAAUGUUUGUCAAUGAUAUGUAUUGUAUGAAUGGCGACCACUGAACUUAUUACGAUCUCUGUUAUGUUUGAGGAAAUUUUGAGAUCCUUCGAGAUUUCAUGGACUACCGGGAUUAUAUGGGCUUAAGUCUUUUAUAAUUUGGACAGUUCUGUUACAGCUAGUGUUGGAGCCAGUUUUAGCGGAUUACAGUUCAUAAGUAUAUUUAAAACAAAUUAAAUUUGUUUACAAAAACUGAUUAUCCAUCACGAAUUAUCAAGGUGUUAAAGUGAAUUUUGGAAAAUUAUAAGUGUGCUAGUGGUCAUAUCCUUUAUGUCUAGUUAAAGACUCUAAGGUGGCUAUUUAAGUACUGACUUGUUGGUUUAUGCAUCAUAUUUCUCUUUCAUUGCUCAUAUGGCAUUGUUGACAUUUACUACCGCCAUUACUAAAAAUAUAGAUAAACCCUACCUCUAGCAACAACGGCAAAAAUGCUCGGUAUAUAAUUAACUUAUCAUUAAGCAACUAGCCACUUCUUAAUGACUAACAUUCCUAAACAUGAAGUAGGUUGUCAUCCCUAAUUAUAUUGCUAGGAAUUUAUUAUAUAUUCACAUGUACUAUUGUGACUAGGCAGAAAUAAAAGAUAUGAAUAUGAUUAUAAACUAAAUGGGUUCUAGAAGUGGACAGAUAAUUAUACCAUUGUAGGAUUUUACCUAGGGAAGUAUCCAGGUUGUCGAUUUAUAUUUAUACCACUGGGAAGGCUAUGUGUUAAACAAUAAUCUAUUAUAUUGAUAAGAAACUAUAUAGGAUGAAUAAAUGAUAUUACCAAGGUUGUCUAAUCUACUCAUAACAGGUAGAGGUCACAAGAUAAAUAUGGGUAAAUAAUAAUGAUAGCAUAAUCAUCAAGUAUCAUAUUUAUGAAUAAUCAUUAGAGCAUCUACUAGUCAUGAUCAUAGUUAGCCAUUAGAUAAACUAGGGAGUUGGAUCUAAGGUAAUUCUAUAACUACAUCACUGAAUAACUCUAAUUAGUGCAAUUACAUCUAGAAAUCAUUGUUGAGCUAACCCUAUAUCAUAGUCACAUGUAAAGAGGCAUCAACUAAUGAGGGUAUUAAGACACAAGGGUCACCUCCUUCGCGACCGUGCCCAUGCUAGUCCUACGUACGAAGGGUGGACUACAGAGGAUACGCAACUGUCACCUAUGCGGUCUACCACACGACCCGACACGUCAGAGUGCACUCGCAGAUAAACAAUAUAUCUAGACACCACGUCUACAUAUUAUCUAUCAUCAACCCAAAGAUCUAUUAGGUCAACGCUAUAUGAGCAAUUACAUGAAUUCAAUAAGAUCAAACCAACUAUCCUAGACAUAUAAUCAAAGUAGACAAUGGCUAUUGCAAUUAAGAAUAUAUGAAUCUAUUAAGAACAAAGUCUCCCUAAUAUACAAUUGAAUACUAUAAAGUAAGAACAAGAUCUAUUACCGAACUCUUGCGCUCCAGACCGAAGCUAGGGGCUCCAGAUCCCGAUGAAGAACUAGAUCUCCUCUACUUCCAAUCUAACUAACUAGAACUACGAACUAGAAGGCUCUUGAUGAACUUGAAGGCGCUUGAUGCUUGAUGGCUCGAGGCCUUGAUGAAUAAUGGAUUGGUUUAUUUCUCCAGGGGGGUCUACCCCUGUAUUUAUAGUCCGGAGGGAUGCGCGUGCGUCGUAGGAUCAAACCGACUUAACCAAGGGCCGAGAUGACUCCUCGUAGGUGGUGGAGGAAGCUUCUAGAAGAGGAAGGUCAAAACCCUAGAUGGGGCACCAGCCGGUGCUAGGGUGGGGCCAGCUGGCCCCACCUGGCAGCCGCCUGGCCCCCUGUUGCUUUGGGUGUCUUCUCGAUCCUUCCUGAGUCCUCCCGUGAUAUUUCCCGUGGUGGAUAAGUUUCGUGUUUAUUUUGUACUAGAAUCCCUCUUUUCAGCUUUCCUAGAAUUCACCCUGAAAAAUACAGGAUAUACAAAACUCGUGGAAAUUGUCAGUUUAAACCCUAGACUAGUGUGUUUUCAUGUUCUCCUUCGGGUUUAAAGCUCUAUAAAAGUUGACGUUAUCGAUCAUCAAUCUCACACCCAUAUUUUAAGAACAAAAUAGGAUGCAUAAAAGACUCAUAUGUGCCCCAGAAACAGUCGCACACAUAAGUAGACAAAUCUCAAAUGUACCAUUGCAGUGUUUAUUACAUAGGGGAACAAUAAUAAAUCACAUAGUCUUAUACAAGAAUGAUAAUAAGAUUAAACAACGCUCUCGACGGAAGCACCACACAGGGACACUGUUGACUAGUUGACUCCAAGCCUAAUACUCAUAACGGUAGUCCUCAUUCCAAUCAUCAUCAUUAGCAUAACCUGGGGUGUUGGGAAAUUGCAAGAGUGAGCACAUAUAGUACUCAACAAGUAUAACCAGGGGUUCAUGAGGCUCAAAUAGCUGACACUGGUUUUACUGAAUUUAGCUUUUAUAUGUAGAUAGCAUGUUUAUAUUUAGAUAGCCAAUAUCAAGGUAGCAUAGUAAAUCCCAUAACCACAUGAUCAAUGUAUACAAGAAUAAAGAAUAACACAUAUAAAUAACAUAAUAAACCAUCAUUUAUUAUCAUUAAUCAUAUUCAUCAGUGUCCAUCUAUUCCGUCAGUUUUUUGGGCCGCCCGUAUCCGUGGGCACGGCUAGUAUACCAGAUUUAACACUCUGCAGAGGUUGUACAUCUUUACCCAUGAGUCAUGAUUUACCCUUUCGCCCAAGGUAGCUAAUAUCUUAACCUCCUUCCUAGGGAGGUCGGUAGGGAUCACUAUGAAGCCUUUCAAAAGUUCGUCUAACAUGUUAGGGCCGCAAAGUUUCCUUCGUGCGCAGAUAUAGAUACCCCCCUUCCAAAUGGCAUAAUGACGCGCAGCCUAUACACAUAAGGAUAGGGGCUCGCACUAUACCCAAAACGGUUCAGCCCCUCUAGCGUCCUUUCGGGUAACCUCUAACAAGCUAGAAAAGGUCUUCAUACUGAGCUAAAGCCAGAGCCAUAUAACCCUCAUAGUUGUACGAGUUAUCCCAGCUUUUGCCAAGGGAUAAGUCCUUAUGAAGGGUCAAGAUCAAUCCAGCAAAAGCCAGAGUUCUUUCCACCCUUUAUAUUCAAGUUGCUAGAAAGCUUAUUUUAUUGUUUAUUGUAUAUUCAAAUAUUUAUGUUACAAGAUCAUGGAUUAAUAAUCAAGCACUAGCAAGAACUACCCACAUGCAUAUCCAAAUAGGUAACAAGGAAUUCAGGAUAACAAUCAUCUAUGAUUUUGCUAAAGUCAUCAAGGUGGACACAUGCAUAUGAUAUAUGUAUUAAAAGUGUGUAGGUAACAAGGAUGAUCCUAAGUUAUACUUGCCUUGAUCAAAGCUCUCCUGAGCCUGCUGCUGGUCUUCAAAAGAUGGACCUUGAUCACCAACGUAUCAUUCUCUGUCUAUACUCAAUCAUCAAUCAACAACACGCAAUCCAAUGUAGACAUUCAUACACGAAGCAAACAAGCUAUUAUUAGAACAAUACACCAAACAAUGGUAAAACAAAUAUAAAAGUUUAUCAAAAUAUUCUACGCAGCGCUACGAUCACAUAAAUGUAAAGUUCACGAAAAUCAGAAUUAAAACGUAGAAGAUAUGAAUUUUCCAAGAUUUCCUAUUGAUAAAUAAUUAGUUAAAUACUACUGCAAAAUUAAAAAGUUUCAAAACAGAGAACUAAUACUCCUAACAUGUAGAGCUCGUAAUUACGAACCUAACGCACUUUGAAUGGACAAAAAUGGAGUUAAAACGAAUAUUUUAUGAGCAAAACAAAAUCAAUGGCAAUUCUGUAAAUACUGGAAAGCGUAAUUUGAUUCAAACCGACGAAAAUACGCUUUUAGAAAAUGAAAACGUAAACCAGAAAAUACGUAAAGGACGGCGGGUUGAUUCCUCGGACCCUAGGGGUCUCUUUAGCAAAAUAACCCCUGAAGGGGUAUCUUCUGUUCUGGUGCGUCGGAUUUCGAUCGGACGGUUGAAAUUGCGCAGGGGUGAGAUCCGGCCGACUGCCUCGCCGGAACAGGAGCCCGACGCGGCGGCGCCAUGGCCGGAGGAGCCGAGCUCGGCGGCGCUCAUGGUUUCGACGACUCAGAGCCUCCGCGGAAGAAAGAAAUGCACCGGGCGGAAGAGGAGCUUACCCCGAGCUCGCCUAAGCACCUUUCUAAGGCCGAGGACGCGCGUAUGGAGCUCGCGGCGGCGGCGAGAAGAACUUUGCUCGGUGAGAUCCCAAAACGCAAGAAAACGGUGGCUAGGGCACAGUUUGGCAAUUUAGAUGCAAAGAGGAGUUUGCGGCGGUGUUAGGGAGUCUUAUAGGACGCGAUUGAGCAAGAAAGCCCGGGUUCUUCGGGAUUUGGAAGGUGCGGCUUGAG
rnacentral:lncRNA from 1 species